CCCUGGGUGAUGCAAGUGGUUAACGUGUUCAGCUGCUAACUGAAAGGUUGUAGGUUCAAAUCUACCCAGAGGC
rnacentral:tRNA from 1 species